rnacentral:lncRNA from 1 species
ACAAGGUAUACCCAAGAUCAAACAACACAUAGACAUCAUGUCAGGUGAGAAGAUCUGCAACAUACUAGUAACCACAUCUGCUGAAGCCUCUGAGUCCUAUUAAGUAUAUAAAGCAUACAAUAGAUUUUGACCACCUCCGAUUGCACAAGUAAUACCUUUAGGUGGUGGAUCUAUAGAAGUAGCUUAGACUUAACACCUCCCAAAUUCCCUCUGGUUAAGGGGCAAUCCUUCAU